AAAGCUUCUGAGCUGCCACUCCCAGAGUCCAGCUUAGAGUGCCAUAGGGCCAGGAAUGUGCAUUUGCACAGCUCUCUGGGGAUGCUGAUACAGGGGACCAAAGACUAUCUACUGAGGCCCAGUGUAACUUUACUGUGAGACAACUAAGUCACCUUCCCACCCGGAGAUGCCUCCUGAGCUGACCACAGGGCGGCCACACCUGGCAUCUGGAAGAGGCUCUGGGAGGGUCCAAACAACAAACCACGCGGCGUUCUCUGGUGGCUGUGCUGGGACGAGUGGGCGGAAACAGCCGCAGGUCUCUCUCUUCUCUUCAGCCUGAAACUCACUGCACAAAUACCAGAGUUUUAGACAUACAUAAAGUUGAUGGAGUACUGCAAUGAAUGAAUGCCCAUAUAUCCUGUACCUAGAUUGAACAGCUGACAACUGUCAAGAACUGUCCCCUGCCAUUUCACCUGAGCUGACCUGAUCUCCCCAGGGGAAUGAGCCUCGUCUUGCAAGUCCCCUUCUUUGGGUCCCUGGCAGCGCUGCUGCAGGAUACAAGGAACAGGAUGCUAUGACGAGAUAUGCAUUGAGAAGCUUCAGUCCUGCCUCCAUCCUUAUCUUCUUCUCCCUGGACCAAAAGUGAUAAUUGUCAUUUGAUCCUUAUUUAUUUUUAGAAAUAAAACUCUUAUGCAGAUACCAACACAUACAAAUCUGUAUUCUUAUACCCUCUAUUUCUUACACACAAGGUAGCAUAUUAUAUUCACUGCUUGACAUGUUACUAUAUUUAUUUGUACUUUAUUGAGCUAUAACAUAUACAGUAAAAUAUACAAAACAUAAUGCAUAGGCCAGUGAAUUUUUUCCUUUUUUUAAAUUUAUUUUUCUUGUAUGACUAUUAAAAACAGCUUUAUUGAGGUCCAAUUGAUAUAUAAUAGUAAACUGGAAUAUAUACACACCCAUGAACCAUCACCAUAAUUGAAAUAAUGAAAAUAAUCAUCACCUUCAAAAGUUUCCUCUUAGGCCAGGUGUGAUGGCUUAUGCUUGUAAUCCCAGCACUUUGAGAGUCUGAGGUGGGAGGAUCACUUGAGCCCAUGAGUUCAAGACCAGCCUGGACAACAUGGCAAAACUCCAUCUCCACAAAAAAAUACAAAAAUUAGGUGGUGUAUGUCUGUAGUCCCAGCUACUCAAGAGGCUGAGGCAGGGGGAUCUCCUGAGCCCAGGAUGUUGAGACUGCAGUGAGCCCUGAUCAUGCCCCUGCACUCCAGCCUGGGCGACAGAGUGAGAUCCUGUCUAUAAAUAAAGUUUCCUCUGGCCUCUAUAUUUUCUUAUUAGCUUGUAAAGGUGAGCAGAUUGAUGAGUUGGGUUGAAGAUAUCUAACAUUAAGCUGAUCACAACCUCAUGGUUCCUUCCUAGAGGCUCCUUUAGUUUCUUUCUUUUCUUUUCUUCUCUUCUCUUUUUUUUUUUUCCGAGACAGGGUCUCACUCUGUUGCCCAUGCUAGAGUGCAGUGGUAUGAUCAUAGCUCUCUGCAGUCUUAAAUUCCUGGUCUUAAGCAAUGCUCCUACUUCAGCCUCCCAAGUAGCUGGGACUACAGGGGUGUGCCACCAUGUCCGGCUAUUUUUUGUAGAGACAGAGUUUCACCAUGUUUCCCAGGCUGUUCUCCUAGUGUCAAGAGAUCUGCUCGCCUCAGCCUCCCAAAGUGCUGGGAUUACAGACAUGAGCCACCGUGACCAGCUGAGUCUGCUUUUGUUUCUUAAGAAUCCAGGAACUAGGUAAUAAAUGUAUGUCUUUGCUACUCCUAAGUCUUAUUAAUCACUUACAUUUCUGACAAUUAAUCAUUGGACCUCAAGGGACUUUGAUAAGAUUAAUUUGAAGUUCUCAGCAGUAGAAAGUUUAUUUUGUCAGUCUGCAAAGCUUCUGGUGUCAGAGGUUCUGGUUCAGGGCUGUUUGACUCAAAGAACCAAGGGACUCUUGGAAAAAGAAACAAGACUUACAUGGAAUUUCAGGAUCUCCAUUGUUUAUAAGCCAUAAUUCUGGGAAGAAGGAAAUGAACUCUAAUUAAGCACCUCUAUGGGUCAGAUACUUUAUAUAAAACAAAGAAUUUAAUCCUCAACAAUAACCUGCCACAGAGAUGAGAUUAUCACCAUUUUUACAGAAGAGGAAAUAGGAUCUGAGAGCCUAAGCAACUUGCCCAAGGUGACUCAGUAAGUGGCAUGAGCUGGAGUUGAAACCCAGAGCUAUAUUGCUAUAGAGCCCAUCCUUUCUAUUUCAUGGCCCUACUCUCUGUCCCCUGCCCCUAGAUAAUAUUAACAAUUGAUAGACAGAUAAGUAGAUAGAUAGAUAAAUAGAUACAGAUACACACACAUAUAUCUGUAUAUCAGGAUGUGCUAUAUAUUACAUUUUAUUUAUUUCCAAAGGCCUUAGGAAAAAAACAAUAGCAGUGUAGAACAUGAAGGCAAAUGGUUACAAAAUACAUGGAUACGUGUAUUUUACUGCUGAUAUAAAUUUAUGUCUAUUGAGUUAUUCCCAAGUUAACAAGGACCGAGAAGUUACUGUGGCCUAAGAAUUGUGCUCUGCAUGUUGGUAGAGACAAAAUAAGCAGCGUCUACUGGCAAAGACUGUAUCAUGUUGCCGGAGAAGUGAAGCAUUAAGUAGAAACUGUGUGUAGUGGCUGUGAGGGCAGCAUGGUUCUGCAAAGGGCUUGAUUGGCGGGAAGAGGAUUAGAUUCCCGCAUGUGUAGUUGGGAAUCUGAUCUGUAAAAGCCAGACACUGAGGUUUUGAUGUCUUUCUCCAGUUCACACAAAGAGCUAAUAGCUGGGCUGGGACUAUGUCUUAAGCAUCCUGGAUAGUUAACAUCUUACCAACCUCUGUCUUCCCCAAAAGCUGCAAUCUCCAUAUGCAGGAGCCAACAUCAGUUUGCUGCAAGGGAGGAGAAUGAGGACUAUUGUAUCAACUGGAGUCCCAUAGAAAACAAAUGACACACUCAAAAGGGGUGAUCAAGAGUUCCAUGGAGGGGCCGUUGACAAAGGUAGAGCCGGUUUAGAGAAAAGCAAUAAGGGAUGCGGAAGCCUCAGGAUCAGCAGCAGCAGGAAGCCACUGGCACCGAGUGCCAAGGGGUAGGGAGCGGUAGCUGAGGUGUGGUGAGCUGUAGGUACAGAAGCACUGCUAUUGCUGCAUCAGAGGUAUCAAUAUUCCAUCCUCACUCUCUCAAUGCCCUCUGAUCACACGCCUGGUGCCCUGGAAGACAGAGGUCACUGGAGCUGUGUGGUUGCAGUCGUUAGAGGUCAGCUUCCUGGCUGCAGCACAGUGCAGAAAGGAAAUGGACAGAGAGUGGUUCUGGCAGGACAGAUGGAGACUAUCCAGUGCAAAAUCCAUGCUGGGGAAAUUUAAGAGUUUUCUUGGGAGUGCAUUAAAGGAGCUAUUGCAGGUGCCUUAGAAUCUCAGAGUCUUAAAGUCACUCCCUUCCAUAAUCCAAUAGCUUGUUCUUGUUCUCAGGAAAGCUCUAUAAACCCAGGGCCUUAUUCUUAUUGUAGUCAUCAUUUCCAGCAGAGCACAGAUUCAAGAGCCAGCUGUUUAACUCAUGACCUUGCUGAAGAGGUGGUAAUGGGGCUAUUCUUAGUGAUCACAUUGUUAUGGGUUAGCAACUUGAUGUUCAAGGUAGUGGGCACCUAGAUAUCUCUGAAUGAUGGUGUUUGUUGGUUUGAAAGAGGUCUCCCUCAUUAAUUCAUUAUCUUGCUGGAGAGGCAGUUGCAUUUUGGCUUCAGCCUUUAAAUGAUAGUGGCUCUAUUUCCGACUUGCUUGGAAACUAUUAUUAACUAUUAUUCCCAACAAUACACUUGCAUAUUUGACAAUCUAGAAACCAAAUUUAGCCAUGCAAAUUAUAGACAACUGCUCUCUUAUAAUGUCACUGUGAUGUCCCAGUUUUUAAGAAAUGGAAGAUUAACAAAGCCAGCUUCAAAUGCUUAAAACAAUAUUUUAUGUAAGAAGCCAUUUUCCCCCAGAGAUGCAUAGACCUGUAAAAUGUUUCCAGAGCUCUUUGGAAGAUAACCAAUAUUUCUCUCAAAGGAAGGGGAAGUAGCAGAACAUCAAAUAUACGCAAAAACCCUUCAAAGCUGGAAGUGCCAUCAGCUUACUAAGGAAUUAUGUUAAAAAUAAGGGAAACUUAAGAGGUCACUUAAAUGAUUUAAACACCAUAUUUUCCCUCUUCUCCAAAAAUCCCCCAAGACAAUGCUCAUAAUGUUAGACUGACCUUUUAGCAUAUGUGAUUUUAGUGAAAGACAUUUCUCUUCUUCUAAAUAUAUCUCAAACCAUUCUUAAAAGUAAUGAUUUCUCAUUAAGGCUCUUGCACCUGCUUGUGAAGAAAAGACAUCUGACCUUUAAAAAAUAUUCCAUGGGUCUGAAUCAUCUAAGUAUAUUGUAGCUUUAUUCUUGCAGACAAGGGAAACCAAGAAUGAUCUGGAUAAUGGAGAAACCUGUUAAUACAACUGGAUUUGAAUCACACUACUGGCUGAAAUUCACACAACCGGAUUGGGAUCCCACUGUGUAAUUUUAGGAUGCUCAAGCAUCAUGGCAUCAUUUCCAGUGGAGUCGCUGAACUUGUAGGUUGUCUACCUGACACCUCGAGGUCCUUACACCAAGAAGUCAGCUGUGAAGCCCGCUGAGUCCUCGGGUGGAUGUCUGCCACCACAUACAUAGCCUUUGCUGGUGGCUUGGAGAGCUGGCAGGUCAGCCACAGAAAGUGGGCAAGACCUAGUCAGUAGCGACAGGAUAUGUUCCCAGGAUGGACAGCUGCCUGAUAUGCGUUCAGUUCCAGUGCCAAAGCCAAGGGCUGCCAGUGCCCUUCCUUCAUGCUAAGGACUUCUCUCUCUCCAGGACAGCGGAUGCCUGUUUGGAAGGCUGGAUUGGACUGAGCCACAUGGCAGAGCCUUGGAGAUGGCAGGGGAGGGAAGUCGAAGACAUGGAGUGGUUUGACAUUUGUGCAUAGUAUGAAGAAAGAUCAUCAAGGCUGAAAUGUGUCUGCUAAGAGGCUUCAGCUCAUGUUUGCUAAUCUCCUGUAUGGUGAAACACUGGCACCCAGACAAACCCUCAUUCACAUCAGAACAAAGCGCUAGUUAUGUGUGUUGAAAUUCCUUAAAGAAAAUGUCUUGCAGGCUGCUGGGGAGUGCGUGAAUGCUGGAAAUGCUUCACCAAGAGUUACUCAAUGUCCUGGGAAGACGGUCUGCUGGCAUCUGAGGGCUCACCCUAGAGAAGAGUGGUUGUACUCCAGGGCACAUGGGUCUGGUGAGGACAGAGAAGCAUGGGUGGAUGGGUGGGUGGAGAUGAGGGUGGAUGUUUUCUCUGUAAUCGUCUCCGGCCAGGCUGGAGCCCGAACCAGACUACCCACUUUAUUAGUCCAUUGAGAAUAUCUAAAGUCAGGCUUCUCAGCACAGCUGCCAUUUCCCCUGCUUGGGACCAGAUUUUCCUGUUUUCUGAGGGCUUCCAAGUAAGUUGGAAGUUCCUUGGGUUUCCACAACUUUGACUUAAUGAAGAAACAAGGUCAAGAAUCAGAGGAAAGGUUUUUGGAUGGGCCUCAGAGGUCUGAAAUGGUUAGGUGGGAGUCUAAAGGUAUAGGAGAGAAACUAAAUCAGUUGUAGCCCCAGCUGUUUGGAGAUGAUGCCAGCAGAUGGGAUUGAGUAAGCGACCACAGGUUGCAGAGGGUGGCAGAUGGGAGGCGGAUGUGGAAAUGGGGUCCCAGUCAGAAAUGAACACCACUAGAGGAGCAGGAAGAAGGGCCAAGCAAGAGCAGUGGUUCUCAUUGUGGUUUCUGGACUAGCGGCGGCAGCAGCACCCACGAUGUAGAUGUCAACUCUUAACUCCACUCGGAAACCCACUGAAUCAGAAACUCAGGUGGUGAAGCCCAACCAGCGGUACUUGAAUAAGUCCUCCAGUGAGUCUGAUGGACACUAAAGUUUAAGAACCACUGAGUCAGGGAACCCCAAGGGAGGCAAUUGCUAAGGAACUGCAAGAGAGGAAUUAGGGGCUGGGCCAGGGGCCAGGCGCGGUGGCUCACACCUGUAAUCCCAGCACUUUGAGAGGCUGAGGCAGGAGAAUGGCUUGAGCCCAGGAGUUCAAGACUAGCCUGGGCAACAUAGUGAAACCCUGACUCUACAAAGAACACAAAAUUGGCCAGGCAUGGUGGUAGCCACCUGCAGUCCUAACUACUCGGGAGGAUCACUUGAGCCUGGGAGAUGGAGGUUGCAGUGAGCUGAGAUCACACCUCUGGGCUACAGCCUGGGUGAUAGAGCAAGACCCCAUCUCAAAAAAAAAAAAAAAAAAGACGGCAGGAUUAGGGAAACUUCUAGAAUGAGGAGGAGAUGGCCCUGAAAGCACAGGGGGACAAGGAGAGUGAACUGAAAAGUAGAAAGAAGUUCUUCUCCAUAAGAAAAAAAGGUGAUGAGAGCUACAAUAAAAAACUACUAGUCACAACGGCUGCAGCUCAAGGUAGCCUGGAUUCUUGAUAAGCACACACCCGCCACUGGUGUCACGCUGAAGCUGGAAGGACCGCCUCUGCUAACAACAGUGAAGAACAAAUGUGGAUGCAAAUGGCUCUUAGAAGUCAGACAAAGGGAAGUUGCAUUGCUGAGAUUCACCUGCAGGUCCCAGCAUGGCUCAUUUGUUCUCUGGAGUAGUGGGUUGAAUGGUAGCCCCCCGCCCCCAUAGAUAUCCUAACCCCUAGAAUCUGUGAACGUGAUCUUAUUGUGGCAGCAGGCCUGUAAUCCAAGCUACUCUGGAAGCUGAAGGGGGAGGAUUUCUUGAGGCCAGAGGUUCGAGACCGGCCUAGGCAACAUAGCAAGAGACCCCUUCCAUCUCCAAAAAAUGAAGGAUAUCCAGAUGAGAUCAUCCUGGAUUAUCUGAGUGGGUCUUAAAUCCAAUGACAUCCAAAUUUAUAAGAGAUGAAAGAGGAGGAAAAGAGAGAUAUGCAGAGGAGAAGGUGAUGGGAAGAUGGAGGCAGGAAUUGGAGUGACACAUCCAUAAACAUGUAGACAUAAAGGGAAUGCCUGUAGUCACCAGCAGUGGGAAGAGGUAAGGCGGGAUUGUCCCGCAGAGCCUUCAGAGGAGGCAUGGCCCUGCUAACACCUUGAUUUUUGGACUUCUGACCUCCAGAAAUGAAAGAAAAUAAAUUACUAUUGCUUUAAGCCACCAAAUUUGUGGUGAUUUAUUAUAGCAGCUCUAGGAAAUUAAUAUACCUGGCUUAAGGGAAGAGGCAUGGGAUUUGAAGACAGACAGACUGGUGUCUUGAACUUUUUGAAUGUUACUCCCUAGGGUGGGAUGUGAACUCUGAGUCACAGCAGUCCCCACGUGGCUUGAGUCCCUCAUUACUUUAGCUAUCUGCCUCCUAUGAGCAUCUUAGCUUUGUAUCCUCUGGGUAACUUCACCUCUCCAGUCUUCUCCACCUUUGACAUCUUAUUAUUCCAGCAAGGGGGGUGGGGAAGGUGGAUUACCUCAAAUCUUUGGAGCAAUGUUUGGGGAUGAUGUAGUCUACCAUCCUUUGAAUAGCUUGGCUGAUUUACCAUUGAGGAAGAAAGAAAUUUCUUCUUGAGAUGUAGUGUGAUGCCUUUUUCAGAACCAGCCACUCUAGUGAUUUUUAAUAAAAAAAAUUAUUGUCUCAUGGCUGGGUUUCUGUCAUUCCUUCCAGAAGGUGGGAGGCUGUGAGUUUGGAAAAUUAGUGUCUGGUGACUGUGGGUGAGAAGGCCCUUUCCUACAUAACAGAAGAAAUAAACAC
rnacentral:lncRNA from 10 species